rnacentral:lncRNA from 1 species
CGGUUGUGGGCAACAAGUGUCAGUGGAAGAGCAACAAUCAACGAUUAUCAAUGGAUUCCCCUCUGAGUUUGAUCAUGCGGUUUCUAUCAUCACAACAACUAAGGUGUCGUUUGAUUUAUAGGACAUCACUACAGUGUUGUUUGACAAAGGGGUGUGCAAAUUUCGGGUAAAACCAAAUUAAUUCGGUUAACCGACCGAAUUCGG